GACGAACGCUGGCGGCGUGCUUAACACAUGCAAGUCGAACGGAAAGGCCCUGCUUUUGUGGGGUGCUCGAGUGGCGAACGGGUGAGUAACACGUGAGUAACCUGCCCUUGACUUUGGGAUAACUUCAGGAAACUGGGGCUAAUACCGGAUAGGAGCUCCUGCUGCAUGGUGGGGGUUGGAAAGUUUCGGCGGUUGGGGAUGGACUCGCGGCUUAUCAGCUUGUUGGUGGGGUAGUGGCUUACCAAGGCUUUGACGGGUAGCCGGCCUGAGAGGGUGACCGGCCACAUUGGGACUGAGAUACGGCCCAGACUCCUACGGGAGGCAGCAGUGGGGAAUAUUGCACAAUGGGCGGAAGCCUGAUGCAGCAACGCCGCGUGCGGGAUGACGGCCUUCGGGUUGUGAACCGCUUUCGCCUGUGACGAAGCGUGAGUGACGGUAAUGGGUAAAGAAGCACCGGCGAACUACGU
rnacentral:rRNA from 1 species